UGUGCUCCGAUGCUCUAGAUUACGCGAAGACCUUACCUAGGCUUGACAGUUGGGGAAAUCUGGCAGAGAUGUCAGGUCCGUAAGGGCCCCAAAACAGGUGGUGCAUGGCUGUCGUCAGCUCGUGUCGUGAGAUGUUGGGUUAAGUCCCGCAACGAGCGCAACCCUCGUCGUAUGUUGCCAGCGGAUAAUGCCGGGGACUCAUACGAGACUGCCGGGGUCAACUCGGAGGAAGGUGGGGACGACGUCAAGUCAUCAUGCCCCUUAUGUCUAGGGCUGCACGCAUGCUACAAUGGCCGGUACAAAGGGCUGCGAUACCGCGAGGUGGAGCGAAUCCCAUAAAGCCGGUCUCAGUUCGGAUUGAGGUCUGCAACUCGACCUCAUGAAGUCGGAGUCGCUAGUAAUCGUAGAUCAGCAACGCUACGGUGAAUACGUUCCCGGGUCUUGUA
rnacentral:rRNA from 1 species